CUGGUAUUUCUUCGGACAUUUUGCAAGGUGCUGCAUGGUUGUCGUCAGCUCGUGCCGUGAGGUGUCGGGUUAAGUCCCAUACGAGCGCAACCCCUAUUGUUAGUUGCCAUCAGGUCAUACUGGGGACUCUAACAAAACUGCCCGCGUAAGCGUGGAGGAAGGUGGGGAUGACGUCAAAUCAGCACGGCCCUUACGUCCAGGGCUACACACGUGCUACAAUGGCCGGUACAGAGGGCAGCCACUUGGUGACAAGGAGCAAAUCUCAAAAGCCGGUCUCAGUUCGGAUCGGAGUCUGCAACUCGACUCCGUGAAGUUGGAUUCGCUAGUAAUCGUAGAUCAGCAAUGCUACGGUGAAUACGUUCCCGGGCCUU
rnacentral:rRNA from 1 species